UACGAAGGGGGCUAGCGUUGUUCGGAAUUACUGGGCGUAAAGCGCAUGUAGGCGGCGAUUUAAGUCGGGGGUGAAAUCCCAGGGCUCAACCCUGGAACUGCCUUCGAUACUAUUUUGCUAGAGUGUGGAAGAGGUAAGUGGAACUGCAAGUGUAGAGGUGAAAUUCGUAGAUAUUUGCAAGAACACCAGUGGCGAAGGCGGCUUACUGGUCCAUUACUGACGCUGAGAUGCGAAAGCGUGGGGAGCAAACAGG
rnacentral:rRNA from 1 species